UCGCCUUCCGGUGGCUGAACGGGAGGUCCGGAUGGUGUGAGAAGAAUUCAGACCCCGUGAUGGGGUCACACGGGUCGGCUGGGCGUUGUGGCGGUCCUUUGCUACACGAGAACCUGCAGUGCCAGCUGCUUCCCUUAUAAGCUAGUUGAAAGCUUAGUUGCUAAAGCACUGAUUGAACACCUAACCAAAAUCACCACCCUGGCCUUUCUAACCAGUGAGAAAGAAAAGAACAUGGCGAUCUCCUGACCGCCUUUACCUGGCCUUGAAAGCUGGCUGCCACCGUGUGCAGAAGGUCCCAGAACAGCGGGAAUGUGCCACAGAUGCCAGCAUCAGGCCUCCUAACAAAGCCUUGGACCCACACCUGUGGGUUUUAAGCAAGCAUUUUACACGUACAAUUGAGUUUAUUUGCUGCAAAAGUGGAGGGAGCUGUACAACACGUGUGUUCACUACACCAUUGCCCAGUGUCACACUGCUGGGGGAUGUGACGCCAGAGAGUGCGGCCUGUGUAGGCUACAAGUCCUGGGGCCGAAUUAGCACUGUAAGCCUGCACAGAAAUGAGCCCAGAGAGGUGGUCUUGCUCUGUACAAACACCUGGGCAAAAUACCAUACCCAAAUCUAACCCACACACAUAGACACACUCAUUCUCAAAGCAGCCACCACUUUAAAGUGACACCCCUCUCUCACAUCCGUCCCCGCACGUCUCUUUCGGCGGACGGAUGCUGCUGACUGAAUACAGGUUUCCCCACCGAGGGGCCCCUGUAGCUUGGCAUUCUCACUGCAUUUGGACUCUGUGUACUUAGUUGGAGAAAGGGUCAGGAUUUCAUACUGAGAACAAGCAUACCUUCUUCAAACAGUGCUUGACACAAAAGAAAAUAGUGAAGUGUAACGCUGCAGGUUAAUAAAAUUAAAAGACAGCAGCUGUAGCUGCUGCCUUGCAGAGAGGCAAGACAGUGCUCCCUGCUGAAAGAAACUGCAUUGGAGCCUUAGCAUAAAAAUAACCAUAUUGCCUGAGGAGAAAAGAAGCCAUAUUGAGUUUUCUUCAUCUCCUCAUAUUGCAGCAUCGUUUCACCAGGAAGAGUGGAAAGUCAGUAUCUACAUGCUGAACAGCCUGAUGUCUGCAACAGGCUUCUGGGAGCUGGGGAAUGCGGUCUUCAAUCCCAGAAUGUAAGAAGGAAAUGAUAAAGAUCUUUAUCCUGGAGCAAAUGUUCACUAUACACAAAGGUACCAUACAGAAGAGGAAGUAGAAAAUAGUAGUUGCCAAAUGGAGAUACAGCCUAGUCCACUAAAUGAUGGACAGUUAGUUUGGUUAACAGUCUGGUACUAAACUCUGCUUCAGCCACUGAUAACAGUUUUGUUGUUGUUGUUGUUGUUGUUGUUUUUCAUUUGUUAUUAUGCCAUGGUUUUCUUUAGAUGAGAUCAGCCACGGAACUAAACUGUUCACUGUUUUUAAGCAGAGUCCUAUUCUGACACUCAGAAUUGCUUGAUGUCACUGGGCAUGCGCAGGAUAAGAAAUUUAUUAAAUCUUCCAUGAAACAGUUUCAUUUCGAAGUCUGACAAUGUUUAACUCUUACAGGAAAUGAGAGUGUAAUUGUCUAGUAACAAAAUUGAAGCUUCAAGUAAAUACCUUACAAUCUGAGCAUAAAUUCAUGGGAGAAUGUGUUGUAUGCAAGUAGCUAUAUGUGCAAAAGGUCUGAAUUUCCCUACCAGCAAUGUCUGGAUCCAGAGUUUUGAUUUCAAUUCUAUUCCUCUGUUCCAUAUAUAAACCUGAAUUUAGCAAUUACAUGAGUACUUCUGCAUUCUGGGCCCAUGAGCACUUCUUCAUACAAGUAAAAAACCAGGUUUGGAAGUUCUCUCUGGGAAUAUUUGAUCCAAGAAUUCCAGUUCUAGCAUUUCUCUGAUGGUCUGAAGUCUGCAAAACAUGAGUGUCCUAUAUUACACAAAGAAAAAGGCUCAGUCAGAUUUAUCUCCCAUAGGGUAUAUGAACUGCUGUGUGCAUAAGUAGAUGAUUAAUGCGGUUUUAUGCAGCUUUACCUUUCUUCUGGCAUAUCAUAAAUCUGUGGUACCAUAUACAUGCACUAGUACCACAAACACUGUGCACCAAAACACAAAACACGUCUAAUUUGAUGUCUCAGAGACAGGAACAUUUCAGGUGAUAUAGUUCUAUAAGGUAAUAUCCUCAAAAGUUACUGAGGUAUUAGUUUAAUAAGUUUAAUAUGCAUUCCUAUCUUGCAUUUCUUUUUAACAAAAUUAGAAAUAAACCCAGUCUUUAUUGCUACUAAAAUAAAAGCUACAACCUGCAAAAGAAUCAGAAUCUUUUUCUGAAUUUUGUAGGAUCAGUUGCAACUUCAGCAUUAUCUUUGUAAACCAAUACCUUAGCUGUGUAAUAUGUUCAGUAAAUACAGCCUUUCUUUUACAAGGUGUCUCCUUCCACUGUCAAAUGAAGCACAAAAAUGUUAAAAAAAGGACUUCUCGAUAGCUUCAUGGGUAGUUUGUCCACUUAUUCCAGAGAUCAGUAAAAUGUUUGGCAAGAAAAGCAUGGACUGAAUACAAGUACACAUCCACAAAUCAAAGCCAAAAUUGAAAACGCAGUUCAAUGGAGUUCAAGAACAAGAGUGCCGGAAAGACAUUGUUGUAAAUAAGUGCAACAAAACUGUACCACUCUCCACCUUCUGAAUUGAUAUCAUGUACAGCCUACAGCCCAGCUACAUUUCUGUAAAACAGUGUGCCUGAGUGCAUCUCAGGAAUGUGAAUGCCUUCUCUGGUGAACAGGAGCCAAACACCAACCUCGGUACCAAAAUGUGGAAGAACAAUUGCAGCUAUGAAGAAAAAACAUGUUUUCCCACCACCCAGCUUGUCUAAAAUGUUGAAUUGUAGUGUGAAGGUGUGUUUUAAACAUGAUUUUGACCAGGUUGAAUUUUGCAAACUAAAAUAAAAAGUAGAUUUAUUGCAGAGCUUAAGCUCUCUGGAGUAUUAACUGAACGGCAUACUUCAUCAGUCAAACAUUGGUGAUUAGUUCAAAACAAAAAUUUGUGAAGUUCUGUAAAUUUAAGUUAAUGCCUGACACUUGGGUGCCCACACCUUCAAAAUAAGCAGUGUGGGGACCCCAGAGUAAUAAGCACAGCUGUUAAGACCAUAUCUGGUGUUAAGAGCACAUCAAGAGUGUCCUUCUUCAUAUGGCUAGAUAGUUUUUCCAUCACUUGUAUUUCAGUAUUUCUGAAACCAGGUGUUAAUUUUCAGGGGGAUAGGAGGUUUCCAAGCAGCUGCCAGGAUUAAUAUAGCAGCCAGCAGUAAACGCUGAAUAAGCUUAGGUACAAAAUGUGUACCAUCUGGUUUCAGAAGUCUGUAGCCAAAAAUGUGAGGCCAGUUCCUUUCAUGUCCAGAAAUCUUCCCUUCACUGGGAGUUGUGAAAUGGAUCUUACCUUUGCAUUACCUUUUAAUUCACAGCACAGAGGAAGAUUUGAAUAAUGGUCUUAAGAAAAUGUUGUCUAAUUGUAAAAUGGGAAACUAAAAUAAUGUGUUCAGUUGAUGAACGCUGUUUGACAAGCUGAGAUCAAAGUGCUUGCUCAGUCUCACAGUAGUCCGGUUUUCCAAGAUGCUGUUUCUCUAUCAGUAAUAUCUACCUGUGCUCAUCACAAACAAACAGACUCCCUGGACUAGUAAGGCAAUAAGAAACUACAAAAUGAUGCCCAUAAGGAUUGAUUUAAGACCGGGGAAGUGAGGAAUUUGGUCUCUCUUGUCUCAUUGAGGCAGUCCUUCUGGGUUCCUUAGAUGUCUUGAGAGAUCAACUGUUCCACAUAAAAAAUAACUUUACUGAAUAAUCUGGUAAAAGAGUAACCUAAGACUUGUUCACAGACAUGAGGUCAGAGGGAUGUGUACAGUUUGGGCCAAUAUAGACACAUCUGAAGAGAUCCAAGCAACAGAAAUUCCACUGAAGAAGUGUGGGAAAGGAGUGUUUCUUGCAAAAGUCCAAAUCAUUCUGUCCCUUCUCUCUCAGGCAGUCAUAAGUAAUUGAUAAUGUACCUUUCUUAUGAAAGCCCUGAAGACAUCAACCUAUUGUCCCACUCAGAGAAUUAUUCAUAUCUCUUAGCUUUUUUAUUUCUGGGUUAUAUAUAUAUAUAUAAUGCCUAUGAUAAGAAACCACAUCCUAUUUUUCCCUUACUAUCAUCACUGCUUUCAACACGUUGAUUAACUCGGUGCUUUAACUGGAUGAUUAAACCCUUUUGAGAAGGGAUUGUCAUGUUACUUUAUUUGGCUAGACCAGACUAUAAUGAUUUCUCAGUCUGUAGGCAUUAUCACAACACAGAUAAAACAGCUACGAUAGUCCUGUUACAUUCCUGGUAAUUGUGGGGUUUUCUACACUGUGGUGUAUAGAUAAAGACAAGUGAGAUUUCCCUGGACUCUGUACAGCAAGUUAGAAUAGCUCUAUUAUAUGAUGUAGCUGCAGAUUUAACAGAGAUGUAUUUAAAGAUGGGCAUAUGAAUAAAGAAGAGUCUAAAUUAAGGCAGAAAAAAUACAGUUUUAAAAGCCUGAUGUUUUAUUUGGUACCAAUAUCCAGAAGACUUAAUAUUCUGUGGGUUUGUUCUGACCUCUUCUGUGGUUAGCAGUCAAAACACUUUUCUGUAUGUGUGUGUUCUAAUAGUAAAGUGAUAACCCUUUUGAUAUGCAUCUCAAGAGUGCCUGAUAAUAGAUUCCAGCAUUCUGAAUUAACAAUUCCAUCUAAUCAGACUAUUUUAUAAUGCACUGUAAAUAACCAUUUCAGCAAAGGCAGUGAUUUUUCUGCAUUCAGGCACUGAAGCAUUAGUGGUAGUAUAAAUCCCAAGAUAGCACUCAGUGUACUUUAAGAGAGAAAUUUAGUCAGUUUGAAAAAUUUU